CUGAACAUGACUCCAGCACCACAGCCGCGCCCGGAUGCAAGGCGUGAGGACCCCCUUCGAGUGGAGUCCUAUGAAUCCUGGUGCACCUUUAAUAACCCAUCAGCAGAGGCGGCCCUAGUUCAUCUGAAAUGGUAAGCAAACAGUACCUUGAUUUUUUAUGGAUUCGGAAAGGAGCCAUGGCUUCCCUAGAGCUUAGUGUUCCACCGUUGCCAUAAGAAUGCAGUUCCGAACCAGACCACCGCUGUCCAUUCCGUUGCUGAGUUGAAGGCCACAGCCAAGCUUUCAGAGAAAGUCUCCCAAUAGCCACUUUGAUCUUCUCUUUCUUUCACAGUGCAUCUUUAAUAACCCAUCAGCAGAGGUGGCCCUAGGUCAUCCGAAAUGCUCAACAACAGAUAUCAAGAUCGAAGAUCUGGAAUGAAGAACCCCUGGGACAGCUGGCUCCAUAGUGUGUCCAUCGCUCCACCCAGGAUUCAUAGGACUCCUCUGGAACGGGGCCCCUCACUCCUUAUAAUUCUCUGGCCUUUUACUUACGUUCCUUACCCAAGUCACUGGCUUUAUAUGAAAGAAAAAAGAAGGAAGGACUGGGCAGCGGGACUGGGUAGCAGAGGCAGCCAGAAGAGAAGUUUUGUGACCGUCGCAGGACUGCCACCGUCUCACACACCAUCACAGUGGGAGAAGCUUUGGAAAUAAGUCCAAGGAAUGAGGAAAAGUUCAAAAUAUGCAGGAUGUCAGUCAACAACUAAAAUACAAGCUGGAAGACCAGCUAAUAUUGAAGUUCAAGCUCUGGGGUAGAGGAGGAAAACCGGGAACAACCCCUUAGAAGCCAUUGUGUCCUGGUGCAGUGAAAUAUGUCCGGACAUCUCAAUAUCACAAGACAACAUUGGGAGAAAUGGAAAGGUUGCACCUCCUCAUUUCCCAAGAACUCUGUAAAAGACUGAAUUUUAAGAUUUGCAAGAUUCUCAGUGAAAAUACAAAUCCACCGAAUUUUGGCUAAAAAUCAAAACCAGACUCACAGGGGGAAAGCUUUUGAGAUCUACCAGGAUUUGGUGCCUUUCCCGUUGAAAAAGAAAAUGGAAGCUGAAACUCACUCAAAUCUGUUGCAUGGCAGGAGGGAUCUUAUUUUUCUAUCCCACUGCUGCCACCAAUUAAUACGUAGAGCACUCGAAACACACUUUAAUUUGUGUUUCUCAUUACCACAAAUCUGUCUUUGGCUCCACUAGAUCUUCAGCUUCUUCUCUUUCAUAUAGAAAAUCUUCCUUUUAAUAAGUAGCCAUGACCACUCAGUAUUUAAACUGAACAGAAACAUUUAUUUGGAGAUUUCUCAAGUUCACAUAUGCUUGGGGGCAGGCCCGUA